rnacentral:rRNA from 1 species
CCUACGGGAGGCAGCAGUGAGGAAUAUUGGUCAAUGGACGAGAGUCUGAACCAGCCAAGUAGCGUGAAGGAUGACUGCCCUAUGGGUUGUAAACUUCUUUUAUAUGGGAAUAAAAUGUUCCACGUGUGCGCUUUUGUAUGUACCAUAUGAAUAAGGAUCGGCUAACUCCGUGCCAGCAGCCGCGGUAAUACGGAGGAUCCGAGCGUUAUCCGUAUUUAUUGGGUUUAAGGGGGGCGUAGGUGGAUGGUUAAGUCAGUUGUGAAAGUUUGCGGCUCAACCGUAAAAUUGCAGUUGAAACUGGCAGGCUUGAGUACAGUAGAGGUGGGUGGAAUUCGUGGUGUAGCGGUGAAAUGCCUAGAUAUCACGAAGAACUCCGAUUGCGAAGGCAGCUCACUGGACUGCAACUGACACUGAGGCUCGAAAGUGUGGGUAUCAAACAGGAUUAGAUACCCUUGUAGUC